rnacentral:rRNA from 1 species
GCUGCGGCGAGCCUACGGCAACGAAAUCGCUGCGGGCGCAGCGAAGGCGCGUGCGCUUCCGUCGAUCGCGCGUUCUGCGCGCGUCGCGGUCGCGCCGAUGCGAGGCGAUGGCGGCGACGGUCGGUCGCUUCGGCGGCCGGUCCGGCUCGACCGCUCGCAGCCUCGAGAUGGUCUUGUAUCGCAUUCAAGUCAUACUCGUAGCCGCCGUGUCGGGACCCGAAAGGCGGUGAACUAUACCCGGCCAGGGUGAAGUUAGGGGAAACCCUGAUGCAGGCCCGUCGCGUUUCUAACGUGCAAAUUGAUCGUCUGAGCCGGGCAUAGGGGCGAAAGACCAAUCGAACCGUCUAGUAGCUGGUUCCUUUCGAAGUUUCCCUCAGGAUAGCUGAAGCGAACUCGAAUUAGUCGCGUGAGGUAAAGCGAAUGAUUAGAGGCAUUGGGGCUGAAACGGUCUUAACCUAUUCUCAAACUUUCAAUAUGCGCUGGCCGGCGACUUGCAAUUCUAACUGCGUGAAGUCGCCAGUCGAUAGAGCGUUUCUAGUGGGCCAGUCCUGGUAAGCAGGACCGGCGAUGUGGGAUGAACCAAAUGCACAAGUUAGAGUGCCAAAAAGUAUGUUAAUCAGAAACCACAAAAGGCGUUAGUAACUAAAGACAGCAGGACGGUGGACACGGAAGUAGUAA